rnacentral:rRNA from 1 species
GACAUAGGUCGCAAACGUUAUCCGGAAUUAUUGGGCGUAAAGGAUGCGUAGAUGGUUCAGUAAGUUACUGGUGGGAAAUCGAGGCCCAACCUCGUGGAAGUUAGUAAUACUGUUGAACUUGAGUGCAGGAGAGGUUAACGGAACUUCAUGUGGAGCGGUAAAAUGCGUAGAUAUAUGAAAGAACAUCAAUAUAGCGAAGGCAGUUAACUAUUCUGCUGCUGACAUUGAGGCAUGAAAGCGUGGGGAGCAAGACGG